rnacentral:rRNA from 1 species
GACGAACGCUGGCGGCGUGCUUAACACAUGCAAGUCGAACGGAAAGGCCCUGCUUUUGUGGGGUGCUCGAGUGGCGAACGGGUGAGUAACACGUGAGUAACCUGCCCUUGACUUUGGGAUAACUUCAGGAAACUGGGGCUAAUACCGGAUAGGAGCUCCUGCUGCAUGGUGGGGUUUGGAAAGUUUCGGCGGUUGGGGAUGGACUCGCGGCUUAUCAGCUUGUUGGUGGGGUAGUGGCUUACCAAGGUUUUGACGGGUAGCCGUCCUGAGUGGGUGACCGGAGAAAAGGGGAAAGAGAGAAGGCACAGACGGAGAGGGGAGGAAGAAGGGGGGAAGAGGGAAAAAGGGGGGGAAGGGGAAUGAAGAAAGGGGGGGGGGGGGAAGAGGGCUGUCGGUUGAGAAAAAGGUUGGGCCGGGGAAGAAGGGGGAGGGAGGUGAAGGGGAAAAGAAGCACGGGCUAAAUAGGUG